GAUGAACGCUGGCGGCGUGCCUAAUACAUGCAAGUCGAGCGAACAGACGAGGAGCUUGCUCCUCUGACGUUAGCGGCGGACGGGUGAGUAACACGUGGAUAACCUACCUAUAAGACUGGGAUAACUUCGGGAAACCGGAGCUAAUCCCGGAUAAUAUAUUGAACCGCAUGGUUCAAUAGUGAAAGACGGUUUUGCUGUCACUUAUAGAUGGAUCCGCGCCGCAUUAGCUAGUUGGUAAGGUAACGGCUUACCAAGGCAACGAUGCGUAGCCGACCGGAGAGGGUGAUCGGCCACACUGGAACGGGGACACGGUCCAGACUCCUACGGGAGGCAGCAGUAGGGAAUCUUCCGCAAUGGGCGAAAGCCUGACGGAGCAACGCCGCGUGAGUGAUGAAGGUCUUCGGAUCGUAAAACUCUGUUAUUAGGGAAGAACAAAUGUGUAAGUAACUAUGCACGUCUUGACGGUACCGAAUCAGAAAGCCACGGCUAACUACGUG
rnacentral:rRNA from 1 species